rnacentral:misc_RNA from 1 species
UAUAAAUUUCAAAUGUUGUAGAAACAGUAGAAUUACAAAAGCACUAAAAGAUACUUGAACGGUUUUUUUUUACUUUAAAGAACAUAGCCAAUAAAGGAAAGAGAUGGCCUUAUUUUCUAGCAGUUUCAGCAAAAUAGAAAGGGGAAGGUUUAGACAAGAACAUUCUGCUUCAUCAGAAGCCCUAUUCGCGACUAUGAUGUAGUAAUCGAAGGACAAAAAGUUCAAGGCUCCACAGUCAUGUUCUCUGCUUCUCGUCUGACAGUUUCGAAGAGCACAGAGGAAAGAUAUCGCUCCCCGAAGCUUGGGAAAACAA